CCUACGGGAGGCAGCAGUGGGGAAUAUUGGGCAAUGGGCGCAAGCCUGACCCAGCAACGCCGCGUGAAGGAUGAAGGUUUUCGGAUUGUAAACUUCUUUUGUACGGGACGAAGAAAGUGACGGUACCGUAAGAAUAAGCCACGGCUAACUACGUGCCAGCCGCCGCGGUAAUACGUAGGUGGCAAGCGUUAUCCGGAUUUACUGGGUGGAAAGGGCGAGUAGGCGGGAUUGCAAGGCAGAUGUGAAAACGAUGGGCUCAACCGAUAGAGUGCAUUUGAAACUGAAGGUCUUGAGUGAUGGAGAGGCAGGCGGAAUUCCUGGUGUAGCGGUGGAAUGCGUAGAUAUCGGGAGGAACACCAGUGGCGAAGGCGGCCUGCUGGACAUUAACUGACGCUGAGGCGCGAAAGCGUGGGGAGCAAACAGGAUUAGAUACCCGAGUAGUC
rnacentral:rRNA from 1 species